GGAAUUUCUGCCCUCAACCAAGCUCUCUUUGGGAAAAUGUCCUUGCUUAUUUGGGAAUCUCCCCAGACUGUGAUUUGUGUCUUCUUGCUUCGUGGGGUCAGCGGUCUCCUCCUCCCCUCUUUCCACCUCCAUCCCCAGCAGCACUGUGAAAAGCCACUUCUACCCGAGCUCCGGGCGCAGGCCCCUUGCCCCGUUGGCCCAGGUUCUCGGGGGCCCCCCGAGCCCCUGCCCGCCUCUCAGAGCGGGCAACCCCAGCAGCCUGUCCAUGGCUUCUCAACCCGGGAAGACGGUGCAGCGUGAACAGCCUGGAGUCCAUGACCCGCCGCGUCUCCGCCCUGGGCCAGGAGGGAAGCGCUUUCUAUAGCUCGAGGUACUUGGAGCCUCGCUUUUCUCCAGGAAACUUGCCACAUCGAAGGCAUCUUCAAAGAGGAUCUGAAGAAAGGCACAGAAGGUGGCGCGUCAGAAAGAACUAGUUUGGCGCUCGCUCUGGGCGGCUGGUGGAGAGGCACAGAACGGUUCUCUCUUUCACCCUCAUUUCCCAAGGGUGUGGGUAUGUGAAAGCUGGGGCGCAAAUGCAGGAUUGCCUCUUGGUGACCUUCCCUGGACGGCUGCAGGAGAGCCAGCUCCUUGUCCUGCCACUCGCUGAGCCAUGCGACCUCAGACACGUGACCCCCUUUCUCGAAUCUUCCUCUUAUGUUAAGGGAAUCACAGCAGCGCCCACCCACAGGGGCGCUUCGGGAAUUCAAGAAGAGGUAGGCGAACACCUGCUGGGGAAGAACCCAGAGUGGACGGGCUGGUUCUCUCAGGGACCUCCUCCCAGACCCUCGUGGAGAUCAGCAAGGGGAUAUUAGAAGGUCGCCAUAAAAUGUCCAGUGCGUCAGCUAUUACUGAAUAUUAAUCUGUCCUAUAAAAGAAACACAUGCCCCGUGAGGAACACUUUGGAACACAGAAACCGAGAAGGAAAAUGAAAAUCAGUGAGAAGCGGUCCCACCCAGAGCGGUCCAUUGUUGGCAGACUGACCUAUUUCCCUCCAGUCAUUUCCCGAGGCGCGUUACAUCAGAGAUCCCCGAUUCUGCAGUCCUGUUAUUCAGAUGGUUUGCAGUCCUGCUGCUCUUUAAUUUCUUGAAGAAUAUUAGAUAUGCCACAGGAAUGUGAUACAUAGACUUAGGAAUGCAAGAUUUAGCAAAUAAAAAUGCAGGCUGCUUAGUUAAAUUUGAAUUUUAAAUAAAGUCAUGGUUUUUUUUAGCAUAA